rnacentral:pre_miRNA from 1 species
UAGGUACUCCCUUUGUCCCCAAAUUAUUGUCUUAGAUUUGUCUAGAAAUGAAUGUAUAUAAAUACUAAAAAUUUACUAGAUACAUUCGUAUCUAAACAAAUCUAAUACAAGAAUUUUGGGAUGGAGGGAGUAGUAA